rnacentral:misc_RNA from 1 species
AACCAUUUGGGGUAGCAACAGGGUUAUGGAGAAUGAAGUGCUCAAGGAGAUCGCAAAUGCUAAAAAAAAGAGUGUUGCUCAGGUGCUCUCUUCACCACAUUCAUAAUUAUGUUUUUAGGAUUAGUGAUAAUUGUGAUUUAUAUUGUAAUUAAACACGAGAAGUUGAAAGGUUUGGCGUUGUACAUAAAAACAGAUCUGCCUGAGGUGGGCAUAUGAACAAGGAGUAUGCAUAUUGGUGAAGAGUUUCCACAGUGAAAGGAUGAAAGAAAACCUUGACAUA